rnacentral:lncRNA from 1 species
GGAGAAUGCCUUCAAAGGGAAUCCUUGAUCUCCCUCUGUUGCACUCUAUCCAUGCAUUGCCACUUAAAGGGACACUCGAGGAACCAAAACAACUUCAUCUAAAUUAAGCUGUUAUGGUGCUAGGAGGCCCCUGAAGACACUCAUACCUCAAGGGGUUAAGCCAUUCUCAAAGCUGGAUGCCAUCUGGAGGGGAGUGGGCAUCGCCGCUGGAUGCAACUUUGCGGUUAAACUAUUCAAGAACGGUUUCACUCCUUGAGGUAAGAGUGCCUCCAGGGGCCUGCUGGCACCAUAACAACUUCAAUGGAAGCAG